rnacentral:rRNA from 1 species
GUGCACGCUGGCGGUAGGCCUAACACAUGCAAGUCGAACGGCAGCACAGUAGGAGCUUGCUCUUACGGGUGGCGAGUGGCGGACGGGUGAGGAAUACAUCGGAAUCUACUUUUUCGUGGGGGAUAACGUAGGGAAACUUACGCUAAUACCGCAUACGACCUACGGGUGAAAGCAGGGGAUCUUCGGACCUUGCGCGAUUGAAUGAGCCGAUGUCGGAUUAGCUAGUUGGCGGGGUAAAGGCCCACCAAGGCGACGAUCCGUAGCUGGUCUGAGAGGAUGAUCAGCCACACUGGAACUGAGACACGGUCCAGACUCCUACGGGAGGCAGCAGUGGGGAAUAUUGGACAAUGGGCGCAAGCCUGAUCCAGCCAUACCGCGUGGGUGAAGAAGGCCUUCGGGUUGUAAAGCCCUUUUGUUGGGAAAGAAAAGCAGCAGGUUAAUACCCCGCUGUUCUGACGGUACCCAAAGAAUAAGCACCGGCUAACUUCGUG